rnacentral:lncRNA from 1 species
GGACAUGCUUCAGGUGGGAGCUUUCCCCGUGUGGGCUGCCCUGCGAUCUGCGCUGCGUGAGACAGCCUUCUGAACUCCAUUGCUGGAGCCUUGAUCCUACAGAGCCUCAGGAAGGACACCAGGGCACACGCUGUAUCUGGGGAAUCUGCACAGGGAGGUCUGAAGACAGCACCAGGAGCUGCCGUGCUCAGAGCAGCCUCUUGCAGGACUGCGAACACCCAGCGCAAGUCCUCCCCAUGCCCAGGACACCAACUGCAGCCAGAGCGGCACUGGUGGAGCACAAGGAAUACUGAUGAACACAUGUCCAGUGAGACGGGCAAGGUAGGUCCUCCAAGCCCCAGGUCCCUGCUAAUGGCUAGGCACUUCCUAAAGAAGCUGCAAGCUUUAAAAGCCAUAUACUAUCAGCCCCAUAAUAUCGGCUACAGUGGUUUUUUCCUGUCUCCCCCUGCCAGAUAUUGAAGGAACUUGAGCUGCGAGGCUGGUGCAGACAGAGCCAGCUGGCUCUUAGUCCUCCCUUUAAAAGUCAGCUUUCAAUGGCCAUUAGUACAAAUUGAGAAGACGUGUGUAAUGGCUUUGGCAGGGCUCGAUGCAGAAAGAAGGCUGGAUAGCAUAUGAACAAUGGGAGGUAAGUUUGUGGAAUUCUGUCUUUGUAAAUCCUGUGAAAGCCCCUUUCCACUUUGCAGAGAGAGAGGCUUUAAAGUUGGAAAUUGUUAGAAUACAGCUGCCUUGCCAUGCUAUUAUUUAACAACUUUAUAAUCUAAUACAUGCGUUGUCCUUGGUUCUCUG